rnacentral:antisense_RNA from 1 species
ACUUAUUCUCUCUCCUGCCGCCCCGUGAAGAGAUGCUUUCCACCAUGAUUUUAAGUUUCCUGAGGCCUCCCCAGCCACAUGGAACUAUAUGGCCAACAUAUCUGCUAGAGGGUCUGACGGAGAGAAGAAUUUAAUCGAUGUCUGUUGAAUUUGCUCAAGUAAGUAAAACAGAAAAACUGUUUUAUAAACAGCAACAAAGUGCAGUAGUCAUUACUAGAUAAAGGAAGAAUAAGCUAUGGGCCCACUGAAUUUCCAAGCAACUUGCAGUUCUGCAAAGAAUAUUAUCAGCUGAGAGGCAACCACUAUUUUACUCUUCGAAUCUAUGAUAUUGACCAUUUUUGAUAUCUCAUAUUUGAAGUUUGUGGCAACCCUGUAUCAAGUAAGUCCACUGGUGCCAUUUUUCCAACAGCACAUGCUAACUUCAUGUCUCUGUCACAGUUUAGUAAUUCUUAGAAUAGUUUAAUCUUUUUCAUUAUUAUUACAUCUGUUAUAGUAAUCAUUAUAUCUGAUACAGUGAAUAUAGUGAUAUUAUACUGUUAUAAUCAGUGGUCCCUGAAGCUGGCAGAGGUUGGCUCAUGAGGUGUAAGGAAAAAAGGCAUCUCUAUAACAUAAAAGUGCAAGGUGAAGCAGCAAGUGCUGAUGUAGAAGCGCAGCAAGUUAUCCAGAAGAUGUAGCUAAGAUCACUAGUGAAGGCAGCUAUAAUAAACAACAGAUUUUCAAUAUAGAGAAAACAGCCUUGUAUUUGAAGACAAUGUUAUCUAAGACUUUCACAGCUAAAGAGGAGAAGUUACUGCCUGCUUCAAAGCUUCAAAGACAGGCUGACUUUCUUGUUAGUAGCUAAUGCACUUGGUGACUUUAAGUGGAAGCCAGUGCUCUUUUACCAUUCCAGAAAUCUCAGGGUCCAUAAGAAUUAUGCUAAAUCUACUCUGCUUAUGCUCUGUAAAUGAACAAAGCCUGGAUGACAGCACAUCUGCUUACAGCAUGGUUUACUGAAUAUUUUGAGCCCACUAUUGAAACUUAUGUUAGAAAAAAAUAUUAUUGCUCACUGACAAUGUAUGCAGUCGCCCAAGAGCGCUGAUGGAGAUUUACAAGGAGAUUAAUGUGUCGUCAUGCCUGUUAACACAACUUGCAUUUUGUGGCACACGGAUCAAGAACUAACUGUGACUUUCGAGUCUUAUUAAUUAUUUAAGAAACACAUUUGGUAAGACAAUAGCUGCUAUAAAUUGUGAUUCCUCUUACUGAUCUGGGAAAACUGAACUGAAAACCUUCUAGAAAGAGCCACAAUUCUAUAUACCAUAACAAACAUUCGUGAUUCAUGGGAAAAGACAAAAAUAUCAACAUUACCAGGAAUUUGGAAGAAGUUGAUUUCAACCCUUGUGGAUGGCUUUGAGGGGUUCUAGCAUUCGGUGGAGGAUGUAACAGCAGAUGUGGAUGUGGUGGAAACAGCAAGAGAACUAGAAGUGGACACUGAAGAUGGGACUGAAUUCCUACAAUCUCAUGAUAAAACUUGAACAAAUCAGGAGUUGCUCCUUAUGGAUGAGCAAAGAAAGUGGUUUCUUGAGAUGGAAUCUACUCCUGGUGAAGAUGUUGUGAACAUUGUUCAAGUGACCCAAAGGAUAUAGAACAUUAGAUGAACUUAUUUGAUAAAGCAGUGCCAGGGUUUGAGAGAACUGAUUUCAAGUUUUAAAAGUUCUGUGUGGGUAAAAUGCUAUCAAAUAGCACUGCAUACUACAGAGAAAUCUUUUGUGAACGGAAGAGUCAGUCAAUGCAGCCAACUUCAUUGUUGUCCUAUUUUAAGAAAUUGCCACAGCCAUCCAACCCUCAGCAACCACCACUUUGAUCAGUCAGCAGCCAUCAACAUUAAGGCAAGACCCUCCACCAGCAAAAAUACAAAGACUUGCUGAAGGCUGAGAUGAGCAUUAGUGUUUGUUAUACAUUUUGUGAAUUAAAGAAUAGAGUAUUCUUUAAUUAAGGUAUGUAUUUUUUUUAGACAAAGUGCUAUCACACAAUUAAGAGACUACAGUAUAUAGCAAACAUAACUUUUAUACACAAUGGGAAAACAAAAAAUUUGUGUGACUCACUUAACUGCAAUUUUCACUCUAUUGUGGUUGUGGUGAUCUGGAACCAAACCCUCAGCAUCUUUGAGGUAUGCUUGUGUGUGUGUGCACAACUUGACUCUGAGUUAACUGUCUUAUUCUUCUCUUUUAUUUCUUAGCAAAUUUGCCAUGAUUUAAAAAAGAAAAACAGCUUAUAUUUAUAUUCCUACUUCCUCAUUCCUCAUUUACUUCUCAACCAUCUGUUGGCUUUUACUCAUAUCACUUUAUGGAAGAGAGGUCAUGCCAAAGUUAUAUACAUGGUUCCUUGUUCCUGGAGGGGAUAUCCAUUUGCAAUAGAUAUAAAUAAGUGUGGAGAUAUAUAUAUACACACACACACACACACAUACAUAUAUAUGUAUGUAUGUAUGCAGGCUUUUAUAUAUGUAUUACUGUGUAUCACAGAACUUUGUUAUAGCUUCUGAAGUUAGAAAAACAAACAAUAUAAUAUGCAGUUCCAAGAACAUUUUAAUUUUUAUGUUAGAUAGAGACAAAAUUAAAUGAAACAUCACCACAACUGAAUGUUAACUACUUAAUUUUCAAAAUUGCCUUGGCAUUAAUAAAGGUUAUAUGUUUUUAGG